GAUGAACGCUGGCGGCGUGCCUAAUACAUGCAAGUCGAGCGAACAGACGAGGAGCUUGCUCCUUUGACGUUAGCGGCGGACGGGUGAGUAACACGUGGAUAACCUACCUAUAAGACUGGGAUAACUUCGGGAAACCGGAGCUAAUACCGGAUAACAUGUUGAACCGCAUGGUUCAACAGUGAAAGACGGUCUUGCUGUCACUUAUAGAUGGAUCCGCGCCGCAUUAGCUAGUUGGUAAGGUAACGGCUUACCAAGGCAACGAUGCGUAACCGACCCGAGAGGGUCAACGGCCACACUGGAACUGAGACACGGCCCAGACUCCUACGGGAGGCAGCAGUAGGGACUCUUCCGCAAUGGGCGAAAGCCUGACGGAGCAACGCCGCGUGAGUGAUGAAGGUCUUCGGAUCGUAAAGCUCUGUUAUUAGUGAAGAACAAAUGUGUAAGUAACUAUGCACGUCUUGACGGUACCUAAUCAGAAAGCCACGGCUAACUACGUG
rnacentral:rRNA from 1 species